rnacentral:piRNA from 1 species
UGCUUAUUAUCGGAGGGCUACUGUCU